CCUACGGGGGGCUGCAGUGGGGAAUAUUGGGCAAUGGGCGCAAGCCUGACCCAGCAACGCCGCGUGAAGGAAGACGGCUUUCGGGUUGUAAACUUCUUUUGACAGGGAAGUGUAGAAGACGGUACCUGUCGAAUAAGCCACGUCUAACUACGUGCCAGCAGCCGCGGUAAUACGUAGGUGGCAAGCGUUGUCCGGAAUUACUGGGUGUAAAGGGAGCGCAGGCGGGAAGCCAAGUCAGCUGUGAAAACUACGGGCUUAACUUGUAGACUGCAGUUGAAACUGGUUUUCUUGAGUGAAGUAGAGGUUGGCGGAAUUCCGGGUGUAGCGGUGAAAUGCGUAGAUAUUAGGAGGAACACCGGUGGCGAAGGCGACCAACUGGGCUUUAACUGACGCUGAGGCUCGAAAGUGUGGGGAGCAAACAGGAUUAGAUACCCGAGUAGUC
rnacentral:rRNA from 1 species